GUUGUCAGACGCUGAGUCGUGGUCCUCUAUGAGAAAGCGAAGCAGCGCCAGCUCUGGCACGUGCACGUCAAACUUGAAGUUCUCGUUCCAACUGGGGUUGAAGCCUUAAAGCAAAAAGCGGAGACAAAAAGAAUUCCACCAGAUUCCCGGCAUUCAUGAAGCCCGUGGUUUUGGCGUACUCCCCGUAGAUGACGUCGAUCUCCUCCCGCUGGGUCAGCAGAUUGUAAAAAUGCUCAAUCUCCGCUCCGGCAAGGUUCUCUCCUUGUGCGCUUUGUUUCACGGGUAGCUGCUCUCUGUUUUCAUGUGUGAGGUUUCCAGAAAGGGGAAAAGUCUCUGUAAGCCAACAAGAGCUCAAUUUGAACGCAGGGGAAUGCUGCAGGCUCCAACACCGGUUCGACGAGACUGUCAUUCAAGCUGGGCUGCUGAUGUCACAACAGGGCAGGUUACAACCCACACCGGCCUGUGCCAUCGUACGACUCCAGUGGCCUUUGUUGUGUAGUGAAGUGGCAGGAAAGUGGGCAAGGAUAAAGACAUAAGUGGCAAGGCUCAACUGGCCGGGACUGGAACCCGUGAAGGCCGCGUGAAGGGCUGGCCUCCGUAUACGGGUCGCACGCUUUCCCCCUGCGCCUCGGCCGCGCCCUUUUGCUAGCAGCUUUGCCUGGGUGGAAUAAUAGCGGCGCAGUCGGUGUAGCGCAGAGGCUCCUGUAGCUCUCAGCACUUCUCUUUCAGACCUGGCUUACCCUCAGCGCACUGUCAGCGGUGGAGAGCUUCCGGAUGGUACUCAUCAAGCCUCCACCCCAACCAUCCCUCCGAGGUGAUGUUCUUCUCAUACUUCCUGGAUGAGUCGCUGAUACAUUCCAAGAAUAAUUUUAGCCAGGAUAGUAUCGUUUGGGUCGGCUCACACAAGACGUCCGAGCAACACGUGCAUCCGAUGACGUCACAGAAGGUGUGGGGAAGCUGCCAGUCAUUUCAGGCAUUCUUGUUUGCAUUUUUUCUUGCAUUUUUUUAUUCACAUUUUUAAAUAAAAUCUUCCAUCAAAGUUG